CUUUAAAUAAAAGUUAGACUUGGAAUAUAUUAUUUAUCAGCAGCAGGAGGUUGGAUUCUCCAACUUUUGCAAAUGAACCCCGUUCAAGCUCAAUCCCAACUGUCUCAUCUUGAGAAGGGGCAAGAUGGAGAAUAGGGAAUGGGAGGAGAGUUCAGAUUUGGAAAGAAGGAGCUGCACAUGAAGAAUGGCAAGACAUUGAAAGAAGGGGAGAUUAUAAAGGUCUCAAGCACUUGGUGAAAAUUGAUUGAUUGUAAAAG
rnacentral:lncRNA from 1 species